rnacentral:rRNA from 1 species
GACGAACGCUGGCGGCGUGCCUAAUACAUACAAGUCGAACGGUCUUUUCUAUGGAAGCUUGCUUCCACUGAGAAGAUAGUGGCGGACGGGUGAGUAACACGUGGGUAACCUGCCCAUAAGAGGGGGAUAACAUCCGGAAACGGGUGCUAAUACCGCAUAGUUUUUCUGAUCGCAUAAUCGAGAAAGGAAGACGGCCUUUGUGCUGUCGCUUAUGGAUGGACCCGGGCGUAUUAGUUAGUUGGUGAGGUAAUGGCUCACCAAGGCGACGACGGGUAGCCGGCCUGAGA